UACGGAGGGUGCAAGCGUUAUCCGGAUUCACUGGGCUUAAAGGGUGCGUAGGUGGUCAGGUAAGUCAGUGGUGAAAUCUCCGGGCUUAACCCGGAAACUGCCAUUGAUACUAUCAGUCUUGAAUACCGUGGAGGUAAGCGGAAUAUGUCAUGUAGCGGUGAAAUGCUUAGAUAUGACAUAGAACACCAAUUGCGAAGGCAGCUUACUACCCGAAUAUUGACACUGAGGCACGAAAGCGUGGGGAGCGAACAGG
rnacentral:rRNA from 1 species